rnacentral:lncRNA from 1 species
UUAAAUUGAAGAUGGAGUUGGAUAAUAGUUCAAGGGGUUGUUGAGGAGAUUGUAUAAAAAAAAAUAGUUUCAAAAUAGAAGAAAUUAAAGGUGCAUCACUUUUUCUUGAAUAAUGACUCAAGCCGAUAUUUGAAUAGUUUGGGCAAAAGUUGCGAAAAAUAAUUGAAAAAUGGGACGAACACCGCAGUUAUUAAUGAGAAAAAAAAAUUAUGAAAUGCUUAAAGAAUUAUAAAGAUAGCAUAAUAUCCAUAGUCGCUUUAAAGAAAUGGUAUUAUAUAAAAUAGUUGGACCUAUACAUUUUGAAAAC